UACGUAGGGUGCGAGCGUUGUCCGGAAUUAUUGGGCGUAAAGGGCUCGUAGGCGGUUUGUCGCGUCGGGAGUGAAAUCCACUGGCUUAACUGGUGGCUUGCUUUCGAUACGGGCAGACUGGAGGUAUGCAGGGGAGAACGGAAUUCCUGGUGUAGCGGUGAAAUGCGCAGAUAUCAGGAGGAACACCGGUGGCGAAGGCGUCCAUCUGGCCCGUUACUGACGCUGAUGCGCGAAAGCUAGGGGAGCAAACGGG
rnacentral:rRNA from 1 species